CAGUAGGGAAUCUUCCACAAUGGGCGCAAGCCUGAUGGAGCAACGCCGCGUGAGUGAAGAAGGUCUUCGGAUCGCAAAACUCUGUUGUUAGAGAAGAACACGAGUGAGAGUAACUGUUCAUUCGAUGACGGUAUCUAACCAGCAAGUCACGGCUAACUACGUGCCAG
rnacentral:rRNA from 1 species